UACGUAGGGUGCAAGCGUUGUCCGGAAUUAUUGGGCGUAAAGAGCUCGUAGGCGGUCUGUCGCGUCUGCUGUGAAAACUCAGGGCUUAACCCUGAGCUUGCAGUGGGUACGGGCAGACUAGAGUGCGGUAGGGGAGACUGGAAUUCCUGGUGUAGCGGUGAAAUGCGCAGAUAUCAGGAGGAACACCGGUGGCGAAGGCGGGUCUCUGGGCCGUAACUGACGCUGGAGGAGCGAAAGCCGUGGGGAGCAAACAGG
rnacentral:rRNA from 1 species